UGUCCCAGAUAAAGGUUCUAAAGGGAGGCGAAAAGAGAGGACAACGGAUAUGGGAGGUCCUGGGGACAUAAAAGGAAUAGAAACUAAUGGCAAUAUGGCGAGAAACUGAAUCCAAGGAAGUGCGGAACAGUCAGCGCUGCCGGUGGGAUACCUCUUCCUUCUCGUGUGCAACCUGGAUGUGGAAGGAGAUGGGAGCAGUCCAAAUGUCAUCCGACAGUGGCUGGGGGAAGUGGAUCACCUGGAGGAGGGUCUCGAUGCAUCGAGCCUUGGGCUGUCCAGAGAACCGCUGUGGAGGAAGCAGGAAGGUACCUUUCGUGGGAUAUGGUCAGAAGACAAAAAGAACUGCAAAGAAAUCUUGACCAUUCUUGACAGAGACAGUGCACACGCAAACAGGGAGAGGAGCAGAGGGAGAAGAAUCUCAGACUCCGGGCGCCUGGGUGGCUCAGUCGUUAAGCGUCUGCCUUCGGCUCAGGUCAUGAUCCCAAGGUCCUGGGAUCGAGCCCCGCAUUGGGCUCCCUGCUCCGCGGGAGGCCUGCUUCUCCCUCUCCCACUCCCCCUGCUUAUGUUCCCUCUCUCGCUGUGUCUCUCUGUGUCAAAUAAAUAAAUAAAAUCUUUAAAAAAAAAAAAAAAGAAUCUCAGACUCCACCCUGAGCACAGAGCCGGAUGUGGGGCUCAAUCUCAUGACCCUGAGGUCAUGACCUGAACGGAAAUCAAGAGUCCGACAUUUAGCCGAUUGAGCCACCCAGGUGCCCCUGUAUUUACUUGUUCUUUCUACCAAAGAACUUUGCUUAGAGGCAAAGCCACCAGAAGCGCCCCUACACCUAGCUUUUUAAAUACAGCAGUCCCCACUUACCCACGGGAUGAGUUCCAGACCCCCAGGGGAUGCCCGACACUGCACAGUACCGAGCCAUACACAUACUGUUUUUUUCCUAUAUAUACAUACCUAUGAUAAAGAUUAUUUUAUGCAUUAGGCACAGUAAGAGAUGAACAGCAACAACAAUAAAAUAGAACAAUUAUAAGAACAUACUAUAAUAAAAGUUAUGUGACUGUGGUCUCUCAAAAUAUCUUCUUUUACUAUAUUCACCAUUCCCCUUCUGGUGACGAUGUGAGAUGACAAAAUGGCCACUGGAUGAGAUGGAGGGACAGGAAUGACAUAGGCAGUGUGACGUAGCGUUAGGCUACUACUGACCCUUUGGACUACAGUUGAUUGGGGUAAAUGAAACCGUGGAAAGCAAACGUGGAGAAGGCAGGACUGCUGUACCAAUCCCCACUGACAACCACGGGGGCUCCUUGAAAAUUACUGAUUCCAGCCAGGACUGGAACCAGGGAAAGUACGAGGUGAACCUGGGACAACAUUUCUGUUCUCCUACAUAGACAGCUGGGGAUGCUAUUGUACAGAUGCACAUCUAUACACACACACAGGUAAAUAGUAAUCACGAGAUUUAGAAACUGAAGUGGAGUGAUUUUCAAGAUAUCUUGUUAAAAAACGCAAGGCACAAAGACUAUAAUAUGCUACCCUUUUGCAUAAGAGAAAAGGUGAUUUAUUUUUUUUCCCAAAAAGACACACAGCAAAGAAUGGUUAAACACUAAUGUGGAUAUGUCACAAGGACAAAAGGGCCAGCCUGAAUAAGAGCUCAUUUUGAGUAUUAAAAUCAAUAAUGACAGGGAUGGAUUAAAACACGCUUAACAACAAAAAAUUCAUGAGUCCAUACUGAGUCUAAAUAUAUGUAGAUAGGGUGGGGAGAGAAGGGAGAGAUUUUCUUUACAGAAGAAUACCAACUAAUAAAUGUAGACAAAAAGAUAGAAAUAGAAAAUCACCAUUAAAAAACCGCCAUAGUAAUAAAUUGAUUCAACCAAGAAUCAUCUGUGGAUGCUAAAACCAUUGGGUGAAAGAUCACUAAGGAAUAGGAUGCAAAGAAAUCGGACUCUACCAGGGCGCCUGGGUGGCUCAGUCCAUUAAGCUUCUACCCUCAGCUCUGGUCAUGAUCUCCGGCUCCCGGGAUGGAGUCCCCCGGCUGGCUCCCUGCUCAGUGGGGAGUCUGCUUCUCCCUCUCCCUCUGCCCCUCCCCCAUCACUCAUGUUCUCUCUCUGUUUCUCUCAAAUAAAUAAAUAAAUAAAAUCCUAAAAAAAAAGAAAUCUGACACUACCUUGAGUAAGUGAUCAAACAUCACCAAUAAAGAAAUGACCUGACAUCAGGCACCUCCUAAUCUGAUACACUGGCAAAGCCACAGUCUCCUCUAUGCAGUACUCUUGCCAAAAGACUUCACCUGAAUAGAAUGAAGAAACAAUCAGGCAAAUCCAAGGUGAAGCAUAUUCUGGAAAACAAUUGGUCCAGACUCCUAUACUAUCAGUGUCAUAAAAGACACAAAAAAACAGCUAAAGAAUUCAUCUAGAUUAAAGAGACUAGGGGCGCCUGCGUGGCUCAGUCGUUAAGCGUCUGCCUUCAGCUCAGGUCAUGAUCCAGGGUCCUGGGAUCGAGCCCUGCAUCGGACUCCCUGCUCAGGGGGAAGCCUGCUUCUCCCUCUCCCACUCCCCCUGCUUGUGAUCCCUCUCUCACUGUGUCUCUCUCUGUCAAAUAAAUAAACAAAAUCUUAAAAAAAAAAAAAAAAUAAGGAAAGAAACUAAAGAGACCUGAUAACUAAGUGCAAUGCAUUAUCUCUGAUUGGAUCCUGGACCUGGAAAUAAAAAUAAUACAGGGAUAAUUGGGGAAAUUUUAAUAUGGUCUGCAGAUUUGAUAAUUGUAUUCACUGUCAUUUUUCCUGAGUGUGAUAAUUAUAUUGUGGUUAUGUAGGCAAAUGUCCUUGUUCUUAGGGGACACAGUAAUUUGUGUCAAGUGUCAUCAUAUCUCCAAGUAUCUUUCAAAUAAUUCAGAGGAAAAGAGGGAUGAAGCAGAUGUGGCCAAAUGUUAAAGGCUGGUGAACCUAGCUCUCU